GACGAACGCUGGCGGCGUGCUUAACACAUGCAAGUCGAACGGUGAAGCGCCUUCCUUUUUGGUGGGUGUGGAUGAGUGGCGAACGGGUGAGUAACACGUGAGUAACCUGCCCCCUUCUUCUGGAUAACCGCAUGAAAGUGUGGCUAAUACGGGAUAUUCUGGGUCUGUCGCAUGAUGGGUCUGGGACAGAUAUUGUUUCGGUGGGGGAUGGGCUCGCGGCCUAUCAGCUUGUUGGUGGGGUGAUGGCCUACCAAGGCGGUGACGGGUAGCCGGCCUGAGAGGGUGGACGGUCACACGGGGACUGAGACACGGCCCAGACGCCUACGGGAGGCAGCAGUGGGGAAUAUUGCACAAUGGGCGCAAGCCUGAUGCAGCGACGCCGCGUGAGGGAUGGAGGCCUUCGGGUUGUGAGCCUCUUUCGCCAGUGAAGCAGGCCUGCCUCGUUUGUGGGUGGGUUGAGGGUAGCUGGAUAAGAAGCGCCGGCUAACUACGU
rnacentral:rRNA from 1 species